CUGUGAUUAUUAAUCUGUGAACCAAAUCUCUCCAUUUAGAAAUCGAGCGAUAGCAGAUUAUCUUCGUUCUAACGGCUAUGAAGAGGCAUACUCUGUUUUUAAAAAGGAGGCAGAGCUUGAUGUGAAUGAAGAAUUAGAUAAGAAAUAUGCUGGGCUCUUGGAAAAAAAAUGGACAUCAGUUAUAAGAUUACAAAAGAAAGUUAUGGAAUUAGAAUCCAAAUUAAAUGAAGCUAAAGAAGAAUUUACAUCAGGUGGGCCUCUUGGUCAGAAGCGAGAUCCUAAAGAAUGGAUUCCCCGUCCUCCAGAAAAGUACGCAUUAAGUGGGCACAGAAGUCCAGUCACAAGAGUAAUUUUCCAUCCAGUUUUCAGUGUUAUGGUCUCUGCUUCAGAGGAUGCUACAAUAAAGGUAGGACCUUCAUAACCUGUGCACUA